GGAAGAAAGUCAGUUAGCAAGUGGAAAUCACCGGAAAAACUACACAGCGCGGCAGAAGGAAUAUCGCGAAGUCUCAGAAAUUACACCGCAGACGGGAAAUAAGAACACAAAAAAACAGCCCCAAAAGGCAGCGCAGUCGGCUUCGGCAGCGCGGAAGGCUGAUAACAAAAGAUAAUAACAAUAACAAGGCGAGAAAAAACAAAAAUGCAGGAAUGAGAAGAAAAAAAAAUAAAAACCGAAAACAAACAAAAGGAAAAUCGCGCUUUUAAUUAACGGACAUUCGACGUGGGCAGCGCAGUCGGCGUCGCCGUCGCCGUAGCGUGUGUGUGCGUGAGUGAGUGUGCGUGAGUAUCUGUGUGAGCUGGCGAUAUAAAACUGCAAUUGAUUGCAAUUUCGGCGGCAUUUGCAACAUAGCAAGCCGGCAAGGAACACCACACCAAGAAAUCAAUAAACAAACAACAAAUAUUAAAAACAAACCUAAAACAGCAUACAGCACACAGAAAACGCCGCUACAAAAAAGCAGCCAAACGGUGCGUCUAAUCAAACGGAUUCCCAGCCGAAAUACACACUGAAAUCAGCCAUCCGAUGUAGCGAGAGCAAUUAUAACUUACGAAAAUGCAACCAUUCCGUUCCGUGCCGUGCUAAUGCAAAACGUAUACGAUCCGAAACCGAUAAAAAUACAAAUAGAAAAGCCGAAGUGAAAUAACAAUUUUACAGCCCACUGGAAAUCAAAUAUUGCACUUGCAUUGCCGAAAUCUCUAAAAACUGCCCAACAAGAGGAGAACAUCAAAGGAACUAUUUUUGGAGACCUUUGCCGGGAAGCCUUUAAGCCAUCUAUAAGCAGGAACAACGCGCUGUUCGUGCCUUUC